UACGAAGGGGGCUAGUGUUGCUCGGAUUUACUGGGCGUAAAGGGCGCGUAGGCGGAUGUUUAAGUCGGGGGUGAAAGCCCGGGGCUCAACCUCGGAAUUGCCUUCGAUACUGGACAUCUUGAGUACGGAAGAGGUGAGUGGAACUCCGAGUGUAGAGGUGAAAUUCGUAGAUAUUCGGAAGAACACCAGUGGCGAAGGCGACUCACUGGCCCGUUACUGACGCUGAGGCGCGAAAGCGUGGGGAG
rnacentral:rRNA from 1 species